rnacentral:tRNA from 1 species
GGAGUUGUGGCUCAGUGUUGAGCACUUUCUUAGCAUGUUUGAGGCCCUGGGUUCGAUUCUCAGCACCA